GACGAAGGGGGCUAGCGUUGCUCGGAAUCACUGGGCGUAAAGGGUGCGUAGGCGGGAUCUUAAGUCAGAGGUGAAAGCCUGGAGCUCAACUCCAGAACUGCCUUUGAUACUGGGAUUCUUGAGUUCGGGAGAGGUGAGCGGAACUGCGAGUGUAGAGGUGAAAUUCGUAGAUAUUCGCAAGAACACCAGUGGCGAAGGCGGCUCACUGGCCCGAUACUGACGCUGAGGCACGAAAGCGUGGGUAGCAAACAGG
rnacentral:rRNA from 1 species